rnacentral:rRNA from 1 species
CCUACGGGAGGCAGCAGUGGGGAAUAUUGGACAAUGGGGGCAACCCUGAUCCAGCCAUGCCGCGUGUGUGAAGAAGGCCCUCGGGUUGUAAAGCACUUUCAGUGAGGAAGAACGCCUGGUGGUUAAUACCCAUCAGGAAAGACAUCACUCACAGAAGAAGCACCGGCUAACUCCGUGCCAGCAGCCGCGGUAAUACGGAGGGUGCGAGCGUUAAUCGGAAUUACUGGGCGUAAAGCGCGCGUAGGUGGCUUGAUAAGCCGGUUGUGAAAGCCCCGGGCUCAACCUGGGAACGGCAUCCGGAACUGUCAAGCUAGAGUGCAGGAGAGGAAGGUAGAAUUCCCGGUAUAGCGGUGAAAUGCGUAGAGAUCGGGAGGAAUACCAGUGGCGAAGGCGGCCUUCUGGACUGACACUGACACUGAGGUGCGAAAGCGUGGGUAGCAAACAGGAUUAGAUACCCGAGUAGUC